CUUGCUUUCUCCGCCGGCGACCGGCGCACGGGUGAGUAACACGUAUGCAACCUGGCCCCUGUCAGGGGGACAACCCGCCGAAAGGCGGGCUAAACCCGCGUACAUGCCACCGGGGCAUCCCGGAGGCAGGAAAGGCUUCGGCCGGACAGGGAUGGGCAUGCGGCGCAUUAGGCAGUAGGCGGGGUAACGGCCCACCUAACCGACGAUGCGUAGGGGUUCUGAGAGGAAGGUCCCCCACAUUGGAACUGAGACACGGUCCAAACUCCUACGGGAGGCAGCAG
rnacentral:rRNA from 1 species